rnacentral:rRNA from 1 species
CCCUUAGAUGUUCUGGGCCGCACGCGUGCUACACUGAGUAAUUCAAUGGGUAAGGGAACGCUAGAGCAUUACCUAAUCUUGAAAUUUGCUCGUGAUGGGGAUCGACGGUUGCAAUUUUCCGUCGUGAACGAGGAAUACCUUGUAGGCGCAUGUCAUCAUCAUGCGCCGAAUACGUCCCUGCCCUUUGUACACACCGCCCGUCGCUCCUACCGAUUGAGUGAUCCGGUGAGGCUCUGGGACCUGGACGGAAAGAGCGUUUCUCUUGUUCUGUUUGGGAAACUUGGUCGAACCUUAUCAUUUAGAGGAAGGAGAAGUCGUAACA